rnacentral:rRNA from 1 species
GCUUACAGCCAUACCACCUGCAUGCACCCGAUCUCCUCUGAUCUCGAAAGCUAAGCAGGGUCAGGCCUGGUUAGUACUUGCAUGUGUGACCACCUGGGAAUACCAGGCUGUAAGCU